rfam:Aspergillus terreus NIH2624 scaffold_7 genomic scaffold, whole genome shotgun sequence.
GACAAGAUGGCCGAGUGGUCUAAGGUCCGUUGACCUCGUGCCCAAUAGUAGACCCCUGACGUUAAGCUAACCAAUAAUGGAAUAGGCGCUGGUCUUAAGAAGCUCUUCUUGAGUUCCAGUACGCAUUUGCGUGCGCGAGUUCGAACCUCGCUCUUGUCA